CUACGGGGUGCUGCAGUCGAGAAUCAUUCGCAAUGCGCGAAAGCGUGACGAUGCGACGCUGCGUGGAGGAUGAAGGCCCUCGGGUCGUAAACUCCUGUCAGGAGGGAAAAGCCGGCACUUGGUCAAUACCCUUGUGCCCCGAUGGUACCUCCAGAGGAAGCCACGGCUAACUCUGUGCCAGCAGCCGCGGUAAUACAGAGGUGGCGAGCGUUGUUCGGAUUUACUGGGCGUAAAGGGUGCGUAGGCGGCGUGCAAAGCUGGAUGUGAAAUCCCGGGGCUCAACCCCGGAACUGCGUCCGGAACUGGCAUGCUAGAGACCAGGAGGGGAGAGCAGAAUUCUAGGUGUAGCGGUGAAAUGCGUUGAUAUCUAGAAGAAUACCGGUGGCGAAGGCGGCUCUCUGGAAUGGUUCUGACGCUGAGGCACGAAAGCGUGGGGAGCAAACAGGAUUAGAUACCCGUGUAGUC
rnacentral:rRNA from 1 species